GUCGUCUGUGUUAGAUAAAUGUAAACACAUUCGUUUCAGUUGGAGCUUCUUGACUCGAGCAGUUACCAUGUGGCGAAUUGCAUCUGUGUUCUGGCUUCUUGUAGCUUUUGGUGUCAAUGAUGCUCGAACUCCAAGAGGAAGACCUUGGAGAAUAUCAAUGAAAACAGCGGAUGUAGACCAUGCCGGUACUGACGCCAGUGUCUACAUCAUCUUGAUGGAUUCUUAAUGGCAGAGACAAUCACCGCAUAUAUACUUGGACAAUGUAUUUCUGAAUGACCAUGAGCGAAAUUCCGUAGACCACUUCAAUAGAUACGACAGUGUUAACCUCAGGGACGUAUGCGCUAUCACAAUCUAUCAUGAUAACACUGGCACUCACCCUGGCUGGUUUCUCGAAAAGGUGUGGCUGAAGUCUGAUGAAAGCCAAAACGAUCGCGUAUUUAAUAUCAGCCGCUGGGUCCCAACAGAGCAAGAAGCGAUGGAAUCACACUAUGUAGUAGAGCGCACGCCACCGUGUAGCGAAGGUCCCCUGCCGUGAUGGAUCAACGUGGCAAUGGUAGACAGCGGAUGACAAGGAUGGAGAGAAGUAACGUGGCUUUGGAGCAGAUUUCCUGAGGUCAACUUACAGUACUGUGAAGUGAAUUUUUUCACCGUCUAAACUUUGAAGGCAUCCAGGACUCAAAUAGUUGGUUAAUAUUCUUUUAUUUGUAGAACUUUCUGGCAUGUCAUAAUAAAGAACGUCUGUUCAUGCAUGAA